ACUGCUCAGACCCUCCAGGGGCAGGGCCCAGGAUUGAAGAGGGAAGCCCUGCUCCACACGUGUUCAUCAGGAAGGACCCACAGACUGCUGCUCCUGGAGGCCUCUCGGUUUAUGGAUGUGUGUUUGUUCCAUAAACCCUCAGAGGGUCACCUGGAGACCCGCUAAAAUGCAGGUUCUUGGGCCACAUCCUAGACCUUCUGACCGACCCAGGGAGUGGGGCCCAGGAAGCUGCAUUUGACAGAUAUCCCCGUGUGAUCAUCAUGCACACAGGAGUGAGAGAACCAGUGUUCUCCCCGGGCAGAAGGGAAGCUCGUGUGCAGGACACCUCACACCUCCUUUCCCAUUCCCCUGCCAGGCUCUCCCUGCUGACAUUGUUUUUGCGGGAGAGCUGUGAAUUCUGAAGAUUAGGUUGCUUCUCACCCCAAGCUCCAGAAGUCCAGGCUGAGCCAAACCAAGCUUCAAGUUAACAAGUCAAAUGACAAAAACAAAACACCAGGCUGAAAUCAUAGGCUUCUACAAGCAGGUGCCUGGACUUGGAGAACCAGGAGGUGAGGGGACUGACUACUUGAAG
rnacentral:lncRNA from 1 species